UUAUAUUGUAACAUUUUAUUUUGUAAUUAAGGAAUAAAGCAACAUGAAUAAACUUGCCUUUCAGCCUUCCUUAUGAUUGCAGUGACACUAUUGAUUACAAUCUACAUUAUACUGAUUUACCAGAAACUGUGAAGCAGCACUCCACUACCACAAGCUACGUCGCCAAUUUCCCAUUAUUUGGGGAAACCAGGGAUCAGCUCAUCCAGAGUGCAACAGAUAUGCCUUGCCUCCGGAAAGCCACAUUUUUUUAUCAUGUUAUCUCCUCUUUCAGUUCUUCAGACUUUCAUCACGGACUCUCCAGCCUUCCAUCAGAGACCCUUGGGUUUUCCUAUGUGGACAUACAUCAGAUUCUUCAGUGAACUCUCGACUCAGGACUUUUUGACUGGAUAUUUUAGCCUUUUUAUAUUCUUCCACCCCUCAAUAUACAGGAGGCCAUAGUAAACAUAUAUGCAUUUCUAAUUGAUGUACUUGCAGAUGUGAGAGUAAAUAAAAAGAAUUCAGCUUUUGUGAAUGUGAAUCCAAUGGAUAAA